AAAGGAUGCUUUAAUACAAACUAGAUUAAGGAAGAAUGAAAUGGCAUUUGCAAACUGAAGGCUAAAUCAUGGACUCCCAGCUGCCUGGUUAGUAAGAAAUCCUGCAGACCCAGGGAAAUCUGUGAGUCCUGGGGAAGGACUUGUAUUCCACAGCUUCUGUCAGACAGCCAUCUCCUGAGCCUUCAAAAGUUCUUGGUUCCAGAAUUUUCUUGAAGAUAUGUAUAUUUCAAAGUAGAGGUAAUGCUGGAGGCCUUAAACUGAGACAGGGCACUGUGUCAGCCUUUCUGGACUAAAACUCUGCUGUGUAAAGGCCUGUCUUUAUGGGAGACCAGACUGAUCCAUUCUUGUCUUGUGUAGUGGUCUUAGAGGGGUGAGCAUUUAUUACAGCUGCCAUUUUGUUAAUUUACAGGUACAUUGAUUCUUCUUGUAAUCUUAGUAAUUUUCUCUUACAAGAUUAUUGUUUUAUGUAUGAUUAUGUGACACGUCCACCCCCCAUCCCCCAACACACACACCUUUUCUUUCCGAGUCUGGAGACUUGUUAAUUGUUUGGUCCUUAUGAAUAUGUAAGAAGCCUUUUCUUCCUUAUCAUCACC
rnacentral:lncRNA from 1 species